rnacentral:rRNA from 1 species
UACGUAGGGUGCAAGCGUUAAUCGGAAUUACUGGGCGUAAAGCGUGCGCAGGCGGUUAUGCAAGACAGAUGUGAAAGCCCCGGGCUCAACCUGGGAAUGGCAAUGGAUACUGGCAAGCUAGAGUGCGGUAGAGGGUAGUGGAAUUCCCGGUGUAGCGGUGAAAUGCGUAGAGAUCGGGAGGAACACCAGUGGCGAAGGCGGCUACCUGGACCAGCACUGACACUGAGGCACGAAAGCGUGGGGAGCAAACAGG